rnacentral:lncRNA from 1 species
UAUGGCCCCAGUGCUCCCAGUAUGGCCCCAAUAUGCCCCCAGUGCUCCCAGUAUGGCCCCAAUACAGCCCCAGUGCUCCCAGUACGGCCCCAGUACAGCCCCAGUGCUCCCAGUAUGGCCCCAGUAUGGCCCCAGUAUGGCCCCAGUGCUCCCAGUAUGGCCCCAAUACGACCCCAGUAUGGCCCCAUUACUCCCAAUACGGCCCCAAUACAACCCCAAUUCUCCCAGUACGGCCCCAAUACGACCCCAACCCCUCCCAGUUGAUCCCAGUUUGUCCCAGUUCUCACCUCCCCGUGGCCUCGGCAGUGCCGGCCCGCGUUGGCGAUCACCUGCUCAUCGCUCAGCUCCCCGUAGGGCUGCUCCCUGCACCGGGUCAGCACCUCCCACAGCGUCACCCCAAAAGCCCACGCGUCGCUGGCAGGGGUGAAGGUGCCCUAAAGGGAAAGGGGGAGAGGGGAGAAAAGACCCCAUAAUCCCAUUAUCCACCCCAUAACUCCAUAAUCCCCACCCUCACCCCGUUACGCAGCCCACAACCCUACAACCCCCACCCUGACCCCAAAAUCCCAUUACCCACCUCAUAACCCC